CGUUGAUUACGUCCCUGCCCUUUGUACACACCGCCCGUCGCUACUACCGAUUGAAUGGCUUAGUGAAUCCUCUGGACUGAUAUUAAUUAGUUGGCAACAACCUAUUGAUGUUGGGAAGUUGGGUAAACUUGGUCAUUUAGAGGAAGUAAAAGUCGUAACAAGG
rnacentral:rRNA from 1 species